CAUUGAAUAUUACGUCCUAAAUUGAUGUGUAUUAUAAUACUACAUACAUACAUUUUUUGAUCGGUUACUACAUACAUACAUAUACCGGGUGGGAGGUCACUUAGCAAUCUCAACCUUUGAUAUUGAUAUAUGCAAACAUAUAUAUGAGGGGCGAUGAGGGGCCCCAUAUUAGUUUUCGCCCCGGGCCCCCGAAAUCUCAGGACCGGCCCUGCAGGGCGGCCAGACCAGGUGGCAAAUGUGGUGCAUGAGUCAACCUCACAACGUACUAUGGUGUCUAGGAUGGGGGUGGUGUAACAUGACGCUUUCUAGAAGCAUGUUAUCGAACAUCUCCACAGAAUCCCGAGCUUGCCUAAUUCCCAAAUCAUGUUAUCAUAAGGAUGAUUACGGAGGACAACUCUCUGAAUUCCCAAAGCACUAAUCUUGUCCUAAUUGCUCAUAUAUUGAAUCACUUUUCGCUGCAAAUAUGUUUUCUAUGCGUUCCUUCUUACAACCAGGACAUUUACUUCCCAAAGAGUUGGUCAACUAAAAAGGACAAGGUGUUUGAGACUGCUUUUAUCUGCUCUGAAGUUUCCCCUUAAACACAACUUUUCAGGAUCCAUAUGAGCUUGGUUACGCACUAAAUUAUUCUGGAGGAUCUCAGGUAAUCAUUGCAGUUGAAGAUUACGCCCCUGGUCAUGAUUCUCAUUUUCAAACUUGCCAUUCAUCAUAGGUGAUUUCCCUUGCCCCUUCAUCAGUUAAUUCCUUUUGCUUGGCGGACUGAUUCACAACUUAAGUGGAUCCCUGAGGAAUUCUACAAUGGGUGUUUUUCUUAUGUAUGUAGGUUUUGGAUGGAGUGUAUUCAUGCAUUAUAUUGGAGCAGGGACCUUCCGAGGAGGGGGAUACCAUGGGGAGGCGAACCUGGUAAAGUAGGGGUGGAAAGUAGACUAUAGGUAUGUUAUCCGUGGCAAGGACUUGGUGGAUUGUUUACCAUUUAGUUGUGUUCAACACCGAAAAAUGGUAAUAACAUUUUUUUGUCCUUUGCAAAUUAAAUUAUUAAUCCAUAACAUUAUUUUUAUAUAUGGGCUUCUAUUAGCGCAACUGGAUUGAUGUAGCGGAGAAUUACCUUCAAAAUGAUUAAACGAAUGCGAAGAUUGGCCUUCUUGAAUUUUGACCACGUCUAAUAACACUUCUGAAUUAUGUCUAAUCUCCAUGUAGUUUGGUCCGGUUAUUUCAUCAACUAGCCCACUACUAUGUGCUGGAAGUUAUAUUGUUACUUAAUACAGGCUACGCAUUCUAAACAUCUUUCUGACUGUUGUCAGAUUGAUUUAUCCAAUGGAACCUCACAUUAAUAAUAAAUUCCUUACAAUAACAAUGUGCUUUAUUUGAAAAUGGUUGAAUAUAAUUACCAAAGUUUGAUGGACGUUCUAUGGCAUGCCAGUCAUUCAUAUGGAGAGCGCAAAUGCAAAUGUUCAUAUUGUAUUGACGAUGCUCCCUUUUGAAAUUAACAUGAUUUGUCAAUUUAUUUUCGACAUGAUGUAUUAUCUUAUUACUUUUUAGCCUAUAGGUUUUAUAUGAGUGAAAAUUAAAUAUGACAGUUCUCAGUCUGGUCUUGCCAACCCCUCCAUGUCAACCAGGGGAGUAAGCAGGUCGUUUUUUCGGGGAGGGUGAGGCACAACCUUGUGAAGGAGUGGAGAAGACAGUGUGCUCUGGUCCUCCUCCAAGCCCGCCAGCGACUUAUCAUUUGUUGCUCUUCCCUUACAAGAUCCUUGAGGUCAUGUGUGAUAACUAGCGACACGUGGUGGAGCUUCUGCGGUAGGGCAACGCCGACGACAACAUCACCUGCAUCAAACUCUCCCUGGUCGCCUUCGAGAGUGUGUGCACCCGACCUACAAGCUUGUUAUGAUGCCCUUUGAAUUUCCGAGCAAGUUGCAACCUUUCCAGAUUUAUCAACACUGGUCACAUUAGUAGUCAAUAUGGUUCAGAUGCAUAAUAGUACGUACUUCGUUUCCUUUUUGUUGCAUACAUG